AUGAAAAACUAAUAUGUGUAUAGAAAUUUAUACAAUAAUAAAAAAAUUCAGUAAAAUGUACUAUUAGUAUUAUGUAAGUAUUUUUCAUCAUCAUCCCGACCAUUGUGUUUGUGUAUCUCUUUGCUCUAACAACGUACAAUUGUAUGUCAUGUCCAAACAUAUGAAAAAUCCAAAUUAUUUUAUACACAACUCACGAUGCAAUUAAAUAGAAUACUCCGUUUAACUGGGCGUAUAGCGAGUCACACAAAUUAAAAGUCGAUGAUAACACAAACUUUUUGAGUUUAACUAAGACGACUUUAAAGAGGCAACCUUCCGGUCGCCUUCAUAAUUCAUUGUCAAUGUUUAAGAUAAAUGUUUUGUUUACUAUGUAGCUGCCAU
rnacentral:lncRNA from 1 species